rnacentral:rRNA from 1 species
AUUGAACGCUGGCGGCAGGCCUAACACAUGCAAGUCGAGCGGAUGAAGGGAGCUUGCUCCUGGAUUCAGCGGCGGACGGGUGAGUAAUGCCUAGGAAUCUGCCUGGUAGUGGGGGAUAACGUCCGGAAACGGGCGCUAAUACCGCAUACGUCCUGAGGGAGAAAGUGGGGGAUCUUCGGACCCCACGCUAUCAGAUGAGCCUAGGUCGGAUUAGCUAGUUGGUGGGGUAAAGGCCUACCAAGGCGACGAUCCGUAACUGGUCUGAGAGGAUGAUCAGUCACACUGGAACUGAGACACGGUCCAGACUCCUACGGGAGGCAGCAGUGGGGAAUAUUGGACAAUGGGCGAAAGCCUGAUCCAGCCAUGCCGCGUGUGGGAAGAAGGUCUUCGGAUUGUAAAGCACUUUAAGUUGGGAGGAAGGGCAGUAAGUUAAUACCUUGCUGUUUUGACGUUACCAACAGAAUAAGCACCGGCUAACUUCGUG